rnacentral:rRNA from 1 species
UGUUACAAUGGCAGGUACAGAGGGAUGCUACCGGGCGACCGGAUGCGGAUCUCGAAAGCCUGUCCCAGUUCGGACUGGAGUCUGCAACCCGACUCCACGAAGUUGGAUUCGCUAGUAAUCGCGCAUCAGCCAUGGCGCGGUGAAUACGUUCCCGGGCCUUGUACACACCGCCCGUCAAGCCAUGGGAGCCGGGGGCGCCUGAAGUCCGGGACCGCGAGGACCGGCCUAGGGCGAAACUGGUAACUGGGGCUAAGUCGUAACAAGGUACC